UGUUCUGGUGCAUUGGUUUGUUACCAUGCAACAGGCAAUCGAACCUGGUGGUCCUAUAACCAUAUUAAAAUGAAACUGAGAAAUAAAUAAAUAAAUGUGAAACAGAGAGGUGUGACUUAGAAAUUGUACACAUUGGGUGUCACAACUUCCCUAUACUUUGUGUUUUCAUACUGACCUUGUUCACACUAAUAAAGUGCCAACCUUGACUGACUGACUGUGAUUCUGAUGAUGAGGAGGAAGAGGAGGAGAAUAGGGAUAUGGUAAGAAGAUUUUAAACCAUUCUCUUUUCUCAUCUUCCAAGUAUUUACAAGUGGCUCAAUUUUUCCAAGUAUUCCUUUCUUUCUACAGAACUUCCAUUAAAAUAAAAAACAAUUCUAAAUCAAGCCUUAUGGACAAGAAUUAAUGGUUCUCCCUAAUAUAUCCCAAAUCGGUGUGUCACUUGGGCAAGUCACCUCUCUCCCAGAUUCUUAUUUGUCCUACACGUAACUGGGGUUUUGCAACAGAUGUUACUCUUCCUUCUCCUUUCCAGGUCUGUUAGAAACUUUAUUAGGAAAGCCUGAAAGUAAAAUCUGUACUGUUUACAUCCAGAGAAAAGUUUAUACUGACUAAAUAAUUUCCUCAAAUCUGGUCACCUUUCUAUGGGAAAAUUCCUCAUCUUAACAAUGUUUCAUGCAUAAAGUCAUCUGGCCUCUUAACUGCAUUGUUGGAUAUUUUUAAGACCAAAAGCUUGCUAAACCCAAAACAGCAAAAGCAUUCAGCUGAAAAUAAAGUGAAAAGCCACAUAUGUCUUAGAGGGAGAAAACAGUGCUAAUGAUUUUAGGCCUUAAUAGUUUCAAGAUCCCGAUUGGCUGCUCUGAAAAGCCAUCUUUGCAUUGUUCCUUGUCCAGCUCCUUGCUCGCCGCGGCUGCCUCCACCGCAGACUCUGGCAGCUUUAUCGCCAGAGUCCCUGAACUCUCGUUUUCUUUUUAAUCCCCUGCAUCAGAUCACCGGCGUGCCCCACCAUGUCAGAUGCAGCUGUAGACACCAGCUCUGAAAUCAUUGCCAAGGACUUAAAGGAGAAGAAGGAAGUUGUGAAAGAGGCGGAAAAUGGAAGAGACGCCCCUGCUAACGGGAAUGCUAAUGAGGAAAAUGGGGAGCAGGAGGCUGACAAGGAGGUAGAUGAAGAAGGGGAAGAAAGUGGGGAGGAAGAGGAGGAGGAAAAAGAAGGUGAUGGUGAGGAAGAGGAUGGAGAUGAAGAGGAAGCUGAGUCUGCUACAGGCAAGCGGGCAGCUGAAGAUGAUGAGGAUGAUGAUGUCGAUACCAAGAAGCAGAAGACCGACAAGGAUGACUAGACAGCAAAAAAGGAAAAGUUAAACUAAAAAAAAAAGGCCGCCAUGACCUA